GUACCCUAAAACCCUAAAGUAUAAUAAAAAAUAAAAAAAAUAAAAUAAAAUAAAAAAAACUAAAAAUCAACAAGAAAUGUGACAGCAUGGGCUAUUUCACAGGACUGUUUCCCAGAGGUCUGUCUCUGGGGAAGUACAGUGGCUGUCUGGGUUUCAUCUAACUCCUGCCGGCUGACAACCCCCAGGCAAGCAUGGUCAUGCAAGGCCUCUCCACUCAGUCUCUCAUUUAUAACACUAGGCAUCUGACUUUCCACUCCUAGGUAUCAUCAGAGAAGGUGCAAUAUCAAGCAUGAACUAUGUGAGGCCACAGACUAGCACACUAGUCACAGAAGGAGAGGUCAUACCUGCUGUCCUCAAACCUGCUGUCAUUUCUCCAUGAAGAAUUGUCCUUGAGGAGCGAUUUGGCCCCUGGCCCUGGCCUGCUGCCAGCCUUCUGCUUAUUUCCUUGGAC